AUGGGGAAAGUGGUGUCUCCAUCCAGGGCUGCAAGGCUGUUUCCUUCGGUCCCUACUCAGCCCCAGCCUCGGGGCAAAUCGAGUUGGGGUUCACCUGGCUGCCGGAGACCUAAGUUUCCGCUAGGUCCAGCCAGGACCCCGGCAGCGAGUUUCCUUGGUCUCGUCAGUCGCAGGCUGCUGUCCCACGCGCGACGCCUCCACAGCAAACCCCUGAAUUUGCCCGUUCCACUCCUAUCCUGGCGCCCUCGGGGCGUGCUGGGGGCCGGGGCGGGGGGUGCGCGGGCCCGCGCCGAGGCGGUUGGGAGAGCUAGGACUCUUCGGCCGGACAGUUUCAGCGCUCGCUGGGCGUGGAAGGGGAGGGCGUCCCCCGCCCCGCCGACUGCGGGUCCGCGCGCCCGCCCCGGCCCGGGAACGUGUGGCCCGGUCUCCCCGGGGCGCACCCAGCGCACGCCCCUCGCCCGGGGACCUCCUCCCCACCAGCCUGGCCGGGCUGCGCGUUUCCCCGGAGCGCCGGCCUCCUGGUCGCUGGCUCGCUCUCCCUGCUGGCUGACCAAUCCCCGUUCGGAGUUCAAGAUUCCCGCCGCUCCACUCGCACUACGCCCUCGCUCCCUGUUUUCCGUUUCUGUUUUUAACUUUCACUCGGGUGAAGCUCGAUCGAUCCUCAGCUUUCAUCUCAGACGUCCCUCCAAGGGGGAUUUAAAGAGGAUCUCAAGCGCCCGCCGCCGCCCCCCACCGCGGUGCUCGCCCGCCCCUCGCCCACGGGAGACGCCCCCGCGGCGGGCGGGGCGGGAAGGCCCCGGUCGGCGGCGGGUGGGGCCGGGUGGAGCCGCCUCCCGCUCGGGGGAGCCCCGGGGCUCGGCCCAGCCCAGCCGCGCCUGCCCUCGGAGCAGCUGCCCGGAGAGCCGGCGGGGCGGCGGCCAGCAGGCGAUGGAGACGGGGAGACACCGGGCGAGAGGAGGCGGGGUGGGGGAGGCGGGGAGAGCGCGGGGGCGGAGGCUGGCAGGGGGCGCUGGAGGCAGGAGCCGCCCGUGCGCUCCUGGCGCCCGAGGGUGCAGGAGGCUCUGA
rnacentral:lncRNA from 1 species